AGGAUAAACGCUGGCGGCGUGCCUAACACAUGCAAGUCGAACGCGCUUUCGGGCUUCGGUGCGAGAGCGAGUGGCGGACGGGUGAGUAACACAUGGGUACCUGCCUUUCAGUGAGGGAUACCGGCGAGAAAUCGCCGACAAUACCGCAUGGGCUUGUGGGAACACAAGCAAAGUGGCGCAAGCCACGCUGGAAGAUGGGCCUGUGGCCGAUUAGCUAGUUGGGGGGGUAACGGCCUCCCAAGGCGACGAUCGGUAGCUGGUCUGAGAGGACGAUCAGCCACACUGGGAUUGAGAACGGCCCAGACUCCUACGGGGGCAGCAGUGAGGAAUUUUCCGCAAUGGACGAAAGUCUGACGGAGCAACGCCGCGUGCAGGAGGAAGGUUUUCGGAUCGUAAACUGCUUUUCUCGGGGACGAGCAAGGACGGUACCCGAGGAAGAAGCCCCGGCUAACUACGUGCCAGCAGCCGC
rnacentral:rRNA from 1 species